rnacentral:rRNA from 1 species
GUAUUUUAACUGUGCAAAGGUAGCAUAAUCAUUAGUCUUUUAAUUGAAGGCUGGAAUGAAUGGUUGAAUGAAAUAUUAACUGUUUCAUAUAAAUUAAAAAUAGAAUUUUAUUUUUUAGUUAAAAAGCUAAAAUUUAUUUAAAAGACGAGAAGACCCUAUAAAUCUUUAUAUUUAUUUUUUUAAUUAUUAUAUUGAUAAUUUAAAUUUUUAUAAAAUUAAAUAUUUUAUUGGGGUGAUAUUAAAAUUUAAAUAACUUUUAAUUAAAAUUUUACAAAAAUUAUUGAAUUUUUGAUCCAUAAAUAAUGAUUAAAAAAUUAAGUUACUUUAGGGAUAACAGCGUAAUUUUUUUAGAGAGUUCAUACU